AUGUCGACGAGGGAGGAGCAGCAGGGCGCGAAUAAGCCGCCGGCGACGGUGAGGAUCAUCGAGACGCUGUACGUCGAGGCCGGCACGGCCGCCGACUUCAAGUCCGUCGUGCAGCGGCUCACCGGCAGGGACUCCGGCGCCUCAGCCCUACCAGAGCAAGACCGGACGACUCCGCAGGGUGCUGACCGGAGGGCUGGGGCGGCGAGAGGGGGUGGCGCCUCCGACGCAAAGCGGGGCAGCUGA
rnacentral:rRNA from 1 species